CUGAGAGGAUGACCAGCCACACUGGAACUGAGACACGGUCCAGACUCCUACGGGAGGCAGCAGUGGGGAAUAUUGCACAAUGGGCGCAAGCCUGAUGCAGCCAUGCCGCGUGUAUGAAGAAGGCCUUCGGGUUGUAAAGUACUUUCAGCGGGGAGGAAGGGAGUAAAGUUAAUACCUUUGCUCAUUGACGUUACCCGCAGAAGAAGCACCGGCUAACUCCGUGCCAGCAGCCGCGGUAAUACGGAGGGUGCAAGCGUUAAUCGGAAUUACUGGGCGUAAAGCGCACGCAGGCGGUUUGUUAAGUCAGAUGUGAAAUCCCCGGGCUCAACCUGGGAACUGCAUCUGAUACUGGCAAGCUUGAGUCUCGUAGAGGGGGGUAGAAUUCCAGGUGUAGCGGUGAAAUGCGUAGAGAUCUGGAGGAAUACCGGUGGCGAAGGCGGCCCCCUGGACGAAGACUGACGCUCAGGUGCGAAAGCGUGGGGAGCAAACAG
rnacentral:rRNA from 1 species